CCUACGGGGCGCAGCAGUGAGGAAUAUUGGUCAAUGGACGAGAGUCUGAACCAGCCAAGUAGCGUGAAGGAUGACUGCCCUAUUGGUUGUAAACUUCUUUUAUAUGGGAAUAAAAUGUUCCACGUGUGGGAUUUUGUAUGUACCAUAUGAAUAAGGAUCGGCUAACUCCGUGCCAGCAGCCGCGGUAAUACGGAGGAUCCGAGCGUUAUCCGGAUUUAUUGGGUUUAAAGGGAGCGUAGGUGGAUUGUUAAGUCAGUUGUGAAAGUUUGCGGCUCAACCGUAAAAUUGCAGUUGAAACUGGCAGUCGUGAGUACAGUAGAGGUGGGCGGAAUUCGUGGUGUAGCGGUGAAAUGCUUAGAUAUCACGAAGAACUCCGAUUGCGAAGGCAGCUCACUGGACUGCAACUGACACUGAGGCUCGAAAGUGUGGGUAUCAAACAGGAUUAGAUACCCGUGUAGUC
rnacentral:rRNA from 1 species